AUUAUUUUGGCAGAAAAGUGCAAUGAAUUUAGAAUUCAUUAAUGUAAUUUAAUUACAGAUAAUA
rnacentral:tRNA from 2 species